AUGUGGACUAGUUUCUGAUAAACAUAGUCCUGAAUGUGGACUAGUUUCUGAUAAACAUAGUCCUGAAUGUGGACUAGUUUCUGAUAAACAUAGUCCUGAAUGUGGACUAGUUUCUGAUAAACAUAGUCCUGAAUGUGGACUAGUUUCUGAUAAACAUAGUCCUGAAUGUGGACUAGUUUCUGAUAAACAUAGUCCUGAAUGUGGACUAGUUUCUGAUAAACAUAGUCCUGAAUGUGGACUAGUUUCUGAUAAACAUAGUCCUGGAUGUGGACUAGUUUCUGAUAAACAUAGUCCUGGAUGUGGACUAGUUUCUGAUAAACAUAGUCCUGGAUGUGGACUGAAUCUGUUUUGGAAACCAGUGUGUAGUAAAUAGACACCUGGCUCAUAUAGUUUGUAGUGUCCUUCCAUGUUAUGUCUCUCUAAGGGUUUAUUCAUCAUCAUCUGUUCAUCUGUAAUGUCUCUCUAAGGGUUUAUUCAUGAUAAUCUGUUCAUCUGUAAUGUCUCUCUAAGGGUUUAUUCAUGAUAAUCUGUAAUGUCUCUCUAAGGGUUUAUUCAUGAUAAUCUGUAAUGUCUCUCUAAGGGUUUAUUCAUGAUAAUCUGUAAUGUCUCUCUAAGGGUUUAUUCAUGAUAAUCUGUAAUGUCUCCCUAAGGGUUUAUUCAUUAUAAUCUGUAGUGUCUCUCUAAGGGUUUAUUCAUGAUAAUCUGUAAUGUCUCCCUAAGGGUUUAUUCAUGAUAAUCUGUAAUGUCUCCCUAAGGGUUUAUUCAUUAUAAUCUGUAAUGUCUCUCUAAGGGUUUAUUCAUGAUAAUCUGUAAUGUCUCUCUAAGGGUUUAUUCAUGAUAAUCUGUAAUGUCUCUCUAAGGGUUUAUUCGUGAUAAUCUGUAAUGUCUCUCUAAGGGUUUAUUCAUGAUAAUCUGUAAUGUCUCUCUAAGGGUUUAUUCGUGAUAAUCUGUAAUCUCUCCCUAAGGGUUUAUUCAUGAUAAUCUGUAAUGUCUCCCUAAGGGUUUAUUCAUGAUAAUCUGUAAUGUCUCUCUAAGGGUUUAUUCGUGAUAAUCUGUAAUGUCUCCCUAAGGGUUUAUUCAUGAUAAUCUGUAAUGUCUCUCUAAGGGUUUAUUCGUGAUAAUCUGUAAUCUCUCCCUAAGGGUUUAUUCAUGAUAAUCUGUAAUGUCUCCCUAAGGGUUUAUUCGUGAUAAUCUGUAAUGUAUCUCUAAGGGUUUAUUCAUGAUAAUCUGUAAUGUCUCUCUAAGGGUGUAUUCGUGAUAAUCUGUAACGUCUCUCUAAGGGUUUAUUCAUGACAAUCUGUUAAUCUGUAAUGGUUUAUUCAUUAAAAGAGAGACGUGAAAAAGAAAA